rnacentral:tRNA from 1 species
UGGGGAUUAGCUCAGGGCAGAGCAACUGGCUGACGAGUCAGACAAGGUUGAGGUUCGACUCCUCUAAUCCCCAACCA